UACGGGGGGGGCAAGCGUUGUUCGGAAUUACUGGGCGUAAAGCGCACGUAGGCGGCUUUGUAAGUUAGAGGUGAAAGCCCAGGGCUCAACCCUGGAAUUGCCUUUAAGACUGCAUCGCUUGAAUUGUGGAGAGGUAAGUGGAAUUCCGAGUGUAGAGGUGAAAUUCGUAGAUAUUCGGAAGAACACCAGUGGCGAAGGCGACUUACUGGACACAUAUUGACGCUGAGGUGCGAAAACGUGGGGAGCAAACAGG
rnacentral:rRNA from 1 species